GCAGUGGUGGUUCAGUGGUAGAAUUCUCGCCUUCCAUGCAGGAGACCCAGGUUCAAUUCCCUGCCAUUGCA
rnacentral:tRNA from 1 species